AGCAUAUCAAUAACCGGAGGAAAAGAAACUAACAAGGAUUCCUUUAGUAACGGCGAGUGAAUAAGGAAAAGCCCAGGCAUGAAUCCCGUGGAGUGACUCCAUCGGGAAAUGUAGCAUUUGGGCAUUCUCAUGGUUUCUUCAUGUUAAAGUCCUAAGUUCGUAUGAUUGCGACUUUCUUUCCCAGAGAGGGUGUAAGGCCCGUAAGGACUAGCAUGUUGAAGCUGGAGAAGGCCUACGAGUCGGGUUGUUUGGGAAUGCAGCUCAAAUUGGGUGGUAAACUCCAUCUAAGGCUAAAUACGGCACGAUUCCGAUAGCGAACAAGUACCAUGAGGGAAAGUUGAAAAGAACUUUGAAGAGAGAGUUCAAUAGUACGUGAAAUUGCUCAGAGGUAAGCGGGUGUAGCCGAAAGGGGAGUGUUAGUUAAUGCUGGUCGUAUAAAGUCGCAUUUCGUUGUGUAUCAGGUGCUCAUUGCAUUUUUUGUAAUGUGUAUUAGAACGCAUGUUGUGUUGUCUUUAGUAUCGGUUGGUAUGUUGCUGCACACCUAUACCACAAGUGGUGGGCCUAGAGACUCUUCCUCAAGAAGGUCGCGUGUGUGCUUCAUUGUACAUGCGUAUGUUGUCUUGGGGUGUGGGUACUCUAUGGGUCAAUCAUAUGCGGUCAGUCUCAAAGUAUUCCUUGUUCUCCAGUAUUUCGGUCACGAAUGACUCCUAUGAGUCUGAUUGGUUUGUAGUGCUUGGAGUGAACAGGCUCUGAUCUGAGAAAAGACUUUGUGGUUCCAAAAGUAGGUAGUAUACCCGACCCGUCUUGAAACACGGACCAAGGAGUUUAGUUUGUGCGCAAGUCAUUGGGCCUUACGAAACCCAAAGGCGUAAUGAAGGUGAAGGCUUCUCUUUAGAGUUGCUAAGGUGUGAUCCGUAAAUCCGUUUUUUAUUAAACGGGGUGCGGCGCAACACCCACUCGUCCGUAACUUUUUAAGUUGGGCGACGUAAGAGCGUGCAGACUGAGACCCGAAAGAUGGUGAUCUAUGCUUGCGUAGGCUGAAGCCAGAGGAAACUCUGGUGGAGGGCCGCAGCGGUUCUGACGUGCAAAUCGAUCGUCAAACGUGAGUAUAGGGGCGAAAGACUAAUCGAACCAUCUAGUAGCUGGUUCCCUCCGAAGUUUCCCUCAGGAUAGCUGGCGCUCGGAAAACAGUUUUAUCCGGUAAAGCGAACAUUUAGACGUAAUGGGGUCGAAACGACCUCAACGUAUUCGUGAACUUUUAAUGGGUGAGAUGUCUGGCUAUCUUUAUUUGUAGCUUGACAUUGAAUGUGAGUGCCUAGUGGGCCAAUUUUGGUAAGCAGAACUGGCGCUGUGGGAUGAACCAAACGUGCAUUUACGGUGCCAAACACAACGCUCAUGAGAUACCACAAAAGGUGUUGGUUGAUAUAGACAGCAGGACGGUGGCCAUGGAAGUCGGAAUCCGCUAAGGAGUGUGUAACAACUCACCUGCCGAAUCAACCAGCCCUGAAAAUGGAUGGCGCUGGAGCGUUGGACCUAUAAUGCACCGUGACCUCAAGCCGCUUGAGGAAGAGGUCACGAGUAGGAGGGCGAUAUGGUAAGCAUAGAAGCUGUGGUUGUAAAACCAGGUGAAGCUGCCAUAUGUGCAGAUCUUGGUGGUAGUAGCAAUUAUUCAAGUGAGAACCUUGAAGA
rnacentral:rRNA from 1 species